UACGUAGGUCCCGAGCGUUGUCCGGAUUUAUUGGGCGUAAAGCGAGCGCAGGUGGUUUAUUAAGUCUGGUGUAAAAGGCAGUGGCUCAACCAUUGUAUGCAUUGGAAACUGGUAGACUUGGGUGCAGGAGAGGAGAGUGGAACUCCAUGUGUAGCGGUGAAAUGCGUAGAUAUAUGGAGGAACACCGGUGGCGAAAGCGGCUCUCUGGCCUGUAACUGACACUGAGGCUCGAAAGCGUGGGGAGCAAACAGG
rnacentral:rRNA from 1 species